rnacentral:misc_RNA from 1 species
UUCCAUCCCGUAGACCAGUGAGUACGGAGUUGCCCCAGUUGAGGUUCUUAUGGAAGUCCGGUAUGCAUGAAGAGCGUAGGGGAGCAUGUCAUGCCAAUCCCUAUAUGUGACCAUCAUUUUCCGGAUUAUCCUCUUUAAAUUUUUGUUUGCAGCUUCCACUGCUCCAUUCAUCUGGGGACGGUACGGGGAGGAAUUGAGAUGCCGGAUUUUGUAUUGAUCACAUAAUUCCUGAAUCUUCGGACCAUUCAAGUUCUUGGCAUUAUCAGUAACAAUUUCAUUCGGGAGACCAUGC